rnacentral:tRNA from 1 species
UUAAUUGAAACCAAAACAAAGAGGUAUGUCACUGUUAAUGACACCAUUGGCCCCCCCCCAAUUAAA